AACGAACGCUGGCGGCAUGCCUAACACAUGCAAGUCGAACGAGACCUUCGGGUUUAGUGGCGCACGGGUGCGUAACGGGGGGGAACCUGCCCUUAGGUUUGGAAUAACUCCCCGAAAGGGGUGCUAAUACCGGAUAAUAUCUUCGGACCAAAGAUUUAUCGCCUUUGGAUGGGCCUGCGUUGGAUUGGCUAGUUGGUAGGGUAAAAGCCUACCAAGGCGACGUUCCAUAGCUGGUCUGAGAGGAUGAUACGCCACACUGGGACUGGGACACGGCCCAGACUCCUACGGGAGGCAGCAGUGGGGAAUAUUGGACAAUGGGCGAAAGCCUGAUCCAGCAAUGCCGCGUGAGUGAUGAAGGCCGUAGGGUUGUAAAGCUCUUUUACCCGGGAUGAUAAUGACAGUACCGGGAGAAUAAGCUCCGGCUAACUCCGUG
rnacentral:rRNA from 1 species